rnacentral:rRNA from 1 species
AAAUAGAUAAGAGCACAUGACGGAUGCCUUGGUUCAAGGAGGCGAUGAAAGACGUGAUACGCUGCGAUAAGCCCAGACGAGCUGCGAAUAAGCUUUGACUCUGGGAUUUCUGAAUGGGGUAACCCACCGCUUUAUGCGGUAUGUUUGGCUGAAUACAUAGGCCAAUCAAGCGAACGUAGGGAAGUGAAACAUCUCAGUACCUACAGGAAAAGACAUCAACCGAGAUUCCCCUAGUAGUGGCGAGCGAACGGGGAGAAGGCCAGUGGAGUUAGCAGUAAAAGCAGAACGGUUUGGAAAAGCCGGCCAAAGUGGGUGAUAGCCCCGUAUGCGGUGAUUGCUGUUAACUUCCUUGAGUAGGGCGGGCCACGUGAAAGCCCGUUUGAAUAUGGGGGGACCAUCCUCCAAGCCUAAAUACUACCUUGAGACCGAUAGUGAACUAGUACCGCGAGGGAAAGGUGAAAAGCACCCCGAACAGGGGGAUGAAACAGGUCCUGAAAUUGUGUGCUUACAAGCAGUCGGAGGGGGGUAACCCCUGACGGCGUACCUUUUGUAUAAUGGGUCAGCGAGUGAUUGCAGCGUGCAAGCUUAAGCCGUCAGGCGUAGGCGCAGCGAAAGCGAGUGUUAAGAGCGCGUUAAGUACGUUGCAUUCGACCCGAAACUAAGUGAUCUAACCAUGCGCAGGUUGAAGGGUGGGUAACACCACCUGGAGGACCGAACCGGUAACCGUUGAAAAGGUUUCGGAUGACGUGUGGUUAGGGGUGAAAGGCCAAUCAAACUUAGUGAUAGCUGGUUCUCCGCGAAAACUAUAGAGGUAGUACCUUGGACUUAAGACGUAGAGGGGUAAAGCACUGGAAAGGCUAGGGGCACAUACCGUGUUACCAAACCUUACCAAACUCUGAAUACUCUAUGUUAUAUCCAGGAGACAGACAGUGGGUGCUAACGUCCAUUGUCGAGAGGGCAACAACCCAGACCACCGAUUAAGGUCCCUAAUUUACAGUUAAGUGUAUAAGCAGGUGCCAUUGCUUUAACAACCAGGAUGUUGGCUUAGAAGCAGCCAUCAUUUAAAGAAAGCGUAACAGCUCACUGGUCGAGCGAUGGUGCGGCGAAAAUGUGCGGGGCUAAAACUGUAAACCGAAGUCGUGGGCAGGCUAUUGUUUCUGUUCUUGUUCAAAGGUUUGGUUGGCAUUUCCCGGCGGCACUCGCGUAGCGGGCCGGCGGAAAAUGCCAAAGCAAAAACCUGUAACAAAGCAAGGGUAGAAACAAUAGCCUGCGGUAGCGGAGCGUUCUGUAAGCCUGUGAAGGUGUCCUGUCAGGGAUGCUGGAGGUAUCAGAAGUGAGAAUGCUGACUUGAGUAGCGAUUAGACGGGUGAGAAACCCGUCCGCCGAAAUCCCAAGGGUUCCUGUCCCAUGUUAAUCAGGGCAGGGUGAGCCGGUACCUAAGGUGAGGCCGAAAGGCGUAGCCGAUGGCAAUCUGGCAAAUAUUCCAGAGCUGGUGGUGUGUGACGGAUCUCGUAAAUUGUCUGGCCUUAACGGAUUGGCCGGGCCGUGAAGAGGUUCCAGGAAAGAGCACCCACAUUAAGCCGUACCCGAAACCGACACAGGUGGGAAGGUAGAGUAUACCAAGGCGUUGAGAGAACUAUGGUUAAGGAACUCGGCAAAUUACACGCGUAACUUCGGGAUAAGCGUGCCCGUCAGCCAGGCAACUGGUCGGCGGGGGCACAUAAGAGGGGGUGGCGACUGUUUAUCAAAAACACAGGGCUCUGCUAAAUCACAAGAUGAUGUAUAGGGUCUGACGCCUGCCCGGUGCUGGAAGGUUAAGAAAAGUCGUGAAAGCGAUGGAUUGAAGCCCCAGUAAACGGCGGCCGUAACUAUAACGGUCCUAAGGUAGCGAAAUUCCUUGUCGGGUAAGUUCCGACCCGCAUGAAUGGCGUAACGAUCUCCCCACUGUCUCAACCAUAGACUCAGCGAAAUAGAAUUCCUCGUGAAGAUGCGAGGUACCCGCGGCUAGACGGAAAGACCCUAUGAACCUUUACUGUAGUUUCGCAGUGGGCUUAGGAAGUUUUUGUGCAGCAUAAGUAGGAGGCGAUGAAGCGUCGGCGUUAGCUGGCGUGGAGCCACAGGUGAGAUACUACUCUAAAACUUCUUGAGUUCUAACCGCGCGCCGAACCGGCGCCGGGACCCUGCGUGAUGGGCAGUUUGACUGGGGCGGUCGCCUCCCAAAGAGUAACGGAGGCGCUCGAAGUUCGGCUCAGAACGGUUGGAAAUCGUUCGUUGAGUGUAAUGGCAAAAGCCGGGCUGACUGCGAGAGGGACACCUCGAGCAGGUGGGAAACCAGGACAUAGUGAUCCGGUGGUUCCGCAUGGAAGGGCCAUCGCAAACGGAUAAAAGGUACUCUAGGGAUAACAGGCUGAUCGCAUCCAAGCGUCCAUAGCGACGAUGCGGUUUGGCACCUCGAUGUCGACUCAUCACAUCCUGGGGCUGGAGCAGGUCCCAAGGGUUCGGCUGUUCGCCGAUUAAAGUGGUACGUGAGUUGGGUUCAAAACGUCGUGAGACAGUUUGGUCCCUAUCUACCGUGGGUGUUGGAGUAUUGAGGAGAGUUGCCCUUAGUACGAGAGGACCGGGGCGAACACACCUAUGGUGUACCUGUUGUGGCGCCAGCCGCAUUGCAGGGUAGCUAUGUGUGGACGGGAUAACCGCUGAAAGCAUCUAAGCGGGAAGCCUCCUCCAAAACCAGUACUCCCCAUAAAGGCCGUUGUAGACUACGACGUUGAUAGGUCACGUGUGUAAGGGCAGCAAUGCCUUAAGCUAAGUGAUACUAAUUGCCUGAUUGUUUUGCUUUAAUAUUCUCA